GACGAACGCUGGCGGCGUGCUUAACACAUGCAAGUCGAACGGAAAGGCCCUGCUUUUGUGGGGUGCUCGAGUGGCGAACGGGUGAGUAACACGUGAGUAACCUGCCCUUGACUUUGGGAUAACUUCAGGAAACUGGGGCUAAUACCGGAUAGGAGCUCCUGCUGCAUGGUGGGGGUUGGAAAGUUUCGGCGGUUGGGGAUGGACUCGCGGCUUAUCAGCUUGUUGGUGGGGUAGUGGCUUACCAAGGGUUUGACGGGUAGCCGGCCUGGGAGGGUGACCGGCCACAUUGGUACUGAGAUACGGCCCAGACUCCUACGGGAGGCAGCAGUGGGGAAUAUUGCGCAAUGGGCGGAAGCCUGAUGCAGCAACGCCGGGUGCGGGAUGCCGGCCUUCGGGUUGUAAACCGCUUUCGCCUGUGACGAAGCGUGAGUGACGGUAAUGGGUAAAGAAGCACCGGCUAACUACGUG
rnacentral:rRNA from 1 species